UGUGGCCUACGGGGGGCAGCAGUGAGGGAUAUUGGUCAAUGGGGGAAACCCUGAACCAGCAACGCCGCGCGAGGGAAAACGGUUUUCGGAUUGUAAACCUCUGUCCUCUGUGAAGAUGAUGACGGUAGCAGAGGAGGAAGCUCCGGCUAACUACGUGCCAGCAGCCGCGGUAAUACGUAGGGAGCAAGCGUUGUCCGGAUUUACUGGGUGUAAAGGGUGCGUAGGCGGCUUUGUAAGUCAGAAGUGAAAUCUAUGGGCUUAACCCAUAAACUGCUUUUGAAACUGCAGGGCUUGAGUGAAGUAGG
rnacentral:rRNA from 1 species